rnacentral:lncRNA from 1 species
GUGCUGGGAUUACAAGCGUGAGCCACCGCGCCCGGCCUAAAUAAAUGAUACACUUCUUAAAAUAAAAAGUGUUUAAAAAUCUUUUUUAACACAGAAGAAAAAUUCUUUUAUACUCUACCACAAGUAUCAGAUAAUCACUGAGAACACUUUGUCAGCUUCUUACCUUGAAGAAGGUCAUUGUUGAUCCAUCUCUAACCGCCCCAUAUUCUAUCUUGGUUUGCUUUGCCAGAUCAUCUGCCGAAUCUAUGGGGGAUUCCAUUCUCUCUACUGUCAAGAAGGCAGCCAGAUUGGCCGUGUAGGAUGAAAUGAUGAUUAGGGUGAAAAACCACCAUAUCCCUCCAACUAUUCUGGUCGAUAGAGCUUUGGGCAUCAGCUCUGAUCCUGUGAUGGUAUCAUCAGAGUAAGGGUGUUAAACACAGUCAGAAGGAAAGGGAAGAUGUACAGUUCGACACUAUUCUAGGAAGAUCAACCUGUAAAAGACUUACCGUCUUGUAGGUAGAUGAAAUAAAUGCAUUUUAUAGAAAAUGGAGCAAAAUCUUAAGGAUUAUUUUCAAAUCAUUAAUCACUACUAUUGCUUUAACUAUAAUUUAUCAGUAGCUGAUGGUAUUAAAACAGUUUUAACCUGGAGGCAUUCCAUGUCUAAAAUUUAGUUAGUUUAGUUGCUUAGAAUUGAAAAGUCAACCCCAAGACUUUUUGCCUUUUAUUACUGUCUAAAUGCAUCUUAUAGUGUGAAGUAAAAUAUUCUGCGUCUUUGUAUAACUAUGAAAAUAUUUGAAAUGCUAACAUUUUUAUUUAAGGUUAAAGAAUGAGAGCUACUUGUAAAAUAUUAACAUGCCAUUUAUCACAUAUACUUUAAUAAAACAUUGGGAUUUUACAAAUAAAAUAAGAUGCAGCCAUACUUGACAGUGGAUGAAUUAGUUUUUAUUGUCUUAUGUUACCUUAAAAGCUACAAUUCUUUUUUCUACUGUAGAUUUUUAUUUGGCUAAAAAAACACAUUCUCUGCAACGCAUAAUUUUGUACUUCAAUAAAAUGCUGUUUCUUAACUACACUUCAAAGACAGGCUGUUCCUUAGGUGAAAGAAGACUUUCCUGGUAAGAAUAUACAUUUUAGAUGUCAUUCAGAUGAUUUGAAAUUAUGUUUAAAUGAUAAAAUAGAGGCACUUAAUGUGUUUUCCAAGGAAACCUUCCUCUCUAAAAGAAAGGGUUUAUGAGCUAAGUUUACUGUCAUAAAAGACAAACAUCUUGAAAACGGUCUAGUUCAAUUUUGCUCAAACUCAGCAGCAGAAUUAGAAUAAAUGAGAAGUACAAUUAGAGUUCACUCCAGUUGUACUGAUUCACAAGUGGAUUUUGGCUUGUUCAUCUGCCUGAAAUUUGCCAUUGGUUCUGUACUUAGCAUAUCCUCCAUGAACCUGAAGGCAUGACAGAGUUUAUCUGACCAGAUAAAAAGUGAAAGAAAAACACCCUAAAUUAAAAAUCCCGAAGAGUGAAGUACAGUAGGUCAGCUGUCUGGUCUAUAGGAUCCCUUUACUAUACUGAUAGGGUGUGUUGAAGCUCUGUCGUUAAUAAUGGCUUAAGAUGGAAAGGAAAAUUGGAGUUCACCAGUCUACCAAUAAAUGAAUUUGUGCUAAGGUUUAAUCUAUAAACAGAUGCAAAUACGGCUCAGGAAAUCACAGCCAGCUCAAGGCCAGUGAUAAUCAGAUCAAGGUCGCCAGAGUUUCUGGGCUUUGAAUUAACGGAUAUAUUCUCCUAAUGCUAUUACGUAUCUUUGUGUUUUAUUCCCUUUUAAUGAGGGAAAUGGUUUGACAGCGAUUUGUGUUUCCUUCUGUCGUUUGUUUGAAUUUGAGUGGGUAAUAUUACACAGACUUAUAAUAGUUUUCCAUUAAAUUGCCUCCAAGGAUUUAGUGGAAUGGUUUGCUGCUGUUGUUUUAAUAUUGUGGUUUAAUGGGAUUUAUAUGCCUGUGGGUGUGUGUGUGUUUAAUGCCCAAGGUUGUUUCAUAUCUUUGUACUUAAUUGAUCUAGCAGUCUUGUGGCAAUGUAAUAUUAUUUUAGCUCUUUAGUUGGUUAUCAUUAAAAUACCAUUUAUUUCAUAAAAUAGCCAUAGGAAAUAAAUAACAAUUAAUAGAUAUAUUUUUCUUAGCUUAUGGGUGCAGAUUUUCUGCUGUAAAUUUAUUCUUUCAUUAUUUGGUUGCAUAUGAAAACAUAAGGUUUUCACUUAUUUGUAUAUUUGUAUAAUUAUGUAUUAUAUGGCAUUAAGAGUGGACAGACAGGUGAACAACAGGCUGUUGACAUGUAAUAAUACUAAUUCACAUCUUUCACACUUUAGAAUGCAUAUUUAAACUUUUGGAUAAAGUUACCUUAGAAACUUAAUAAAAAUGUUAAUAGAAACGUAUUGAGAUUACAUUUUAAACCCUUGUUAGAUGGCAUCAAUUAGACUUCUCAAUGUUUCUUCAUGUUUUCUAUUUUUAUCUAAUUUUUGUGAAUUUUGUAAUUCUCCAUGUUAGUUAGAAUUAUUUAGAAAUGGCUUCUUUCAAGUAGAGAUGAUUUGUGUAAGUUUAGUACUCUAGAGGAUGAAAUUAUACAAACAUUAAAAGUUGAGUAAAACAUUACUAGAAAAUAUUUGGGAUGAGAGACAAUACUUGCUGAAGUCUCUUUAGUGCCUUUUACGGCAGACAUGACAGCCAAUCCUGAUCCAGACUUUGCUCACGCUCUGUAGAAAAGAGAAAGUCUGAUCAUCACAUUUAAAAAAAAUUCAACAAAAUGUUUUCCAAUUGAGUACAGUGACAAGCUUCUGCUAACAAGAGAGAGCAACAGAGGAUAACUACCUGGUUCAACGCCACGUGCUAGAGACAGAUGCACUAACAGUCACAAGUACCUCAAGUUUGUAUCUGGAAAGAUUUGUUGCACCUGACAAAUGUUUGUAAACUUCUUGAAUGACAAGCAGAGUCUGGUUGGGGCUGACUGUCAUGUACCCAAGGUAGUGGUAACUAACAGACACUGCAUCCCACAGUGUGCUGUGGAUGAUGGUAAACUCCAAACAGGUAAAAGAUGAAAGAUAAAUUCCGGGGGUGGGUGCACUCAAUGACAGAAGGCAGUCACAGUCAUAUACCUGCACAGGCCAGCUGCAUGCAUGCUCUGUGAAACCUAAAAGUAUAUAUAUGUGUGUGUGUAUAUAUAUAUAUAUAUGUGUGUAUAUAUAUGUAUAUAUAUGUAUAUAUAUGUGUAUAUAUG